rnacentral:rRNA from 1 species
GACGAACGCUGGCGGCGUGCUUAACACAUGCAAGUCGAGCGGUAAGGCCCUUCGGGGUACACGAGCGGCGAACGGGUGAGUAACACGUGGGUGACCUGCCUUUAGCUCUGGGAUAAGCCUGGGAGACUGGGUCUAAUACCGGAUAUGACCUCAUGACGCAUGUUGUGGGGUGGAAAGCCUUGUGCGGCUAGGGAUGGGCCCGCGGCCUAUCAGCUUGUUGGUGGGGUGAUGGCCUACCAAGGCGACGACGGGUAGCCGGCCUGAGAGGGCGACCGGCCACACUGGGACUGAGACACGGCCCAGACUCCUACGGGAGGCAGCAGUGGGGAAUCUUGCGCAAUGGGCGAAAGCCUGACGCAGCGACGCCGCGUGAGGGAUGACGGCCU